rnacentral:rRNA from 1 species
GUAUCAUGGCUCAGGAUGAACGCUAGCUACAGGCUUAACACAUGCAAGUCGAGGGGCGAGCGGGAUUGAAUCUUGCUUCAAUUGCCCGGCGACCGGCGCACGGGUGAGUAACGCGUAUCCAACCUUCCGUACACUCAGGGAUAGCCUUUCGAAAGAAAGAUUAAUAACCUGAUGGUAUCUUAAGCACACAUGUAAUUAAGAUUAAGAUUUAUCGGUGUACGAUGGGGAGUGCGUUCCAUUAGGUAGG